GAGGCAACUCUUGUCCUAUGAAGGUUCUUUAUAGAGGGAUUGACUCAUCUUGGGAGACAGUUCCUCGUAGUUAUAACCUGCAACUUUUCUCUUUGUUUUUCUAAGGCAAGUUCAACUAAGCUAUUUACUCUUAAGUGUCUUGCUAUCAUCAAAAUCAAUCCUUGAGGAGCAAUAAAUGCAAAAUAAAAAAUUAUAGGGUUAUGCAUGCAACAAAAGUUUUGGGCGGUAUAUACGCAGAAAGCCCAAAACUUAAUAGAGAUUUUGGAAAUUGGCAAACCCUAAAUGGGAAUAUUCAUCAAAUGUUAUCCACUAAAUAGGGCAAACUCAAAAGAUGGGUGAUAGAAAAUCUAAAUAUUUUACAUCAGAGUGCACAAUCCUUGAAAAUGAACAUUGUAUGCCCUAAUCAUGAUAUAGUAGAGGCAACAAACCUUGGAAGUGAAUGUUCAACUUUUUUGAAAGCUUUUGUUUUGGAAAAACCUGCCAUGUCAAUGUCGAAGCCCUUAAGUCUUAUACUUUUGGAGAUGGACAAGCCUUGGGGACCAAAUGCCCAAACUUGUAAUCUAGGAUGUUUAGAUAUGAGCAAACCCUAUAGUUAAUUCGAAGGUGUGCCUUGCACAAAGGUAAGAUUGCUCCAUAUUGAUAUGGAGGUCAUAGGUUCGAAACAAGCUCCGCAUUCUUUGUACCGAGUACCUUAUUAGUUUGGUAUUGUACGGUACGAUACAUCUCUAUACCGAAAUAACUCUAACCAUUUUCUCAAUUUUUAUCUCGGUAUACCUCGUUAUGGACCGGUUCGCAUUUCGGUACGCCU
rnacentral:lncRNA from 1 species